GGAAGUGUGCCAGAGUUGGUUUAUUGGGACGCUCUCGAAAAGCGUUGUCUCGCAAGGGACCGAAGGUUCGAAUCCUUCCACUUCCG
rnacentral:tRNA from 1 species